rnacentral:piRNA from 1 species
UGAAUCUCUGUUUGGACACUC